AACGAACGCUGGCGGCAGGCUUAACACAUGCAAGUCGAGCGGUAACAGGCGUAGCAAUACGUGCUGACGAGCGGCGAACGGGUGAGUAAUGCUUCGGAAUCUUCCUUGUAGUGGGGAAUAACCAGGGGAAACUCAGGCUAAUGCCGCAUACGAACCAUGGUUGAAAGCGGGGGAUCGCAAGACUCCGCGCUAUAAGAUGAGCCGAAGUCGGAUUAGCUAGUUGGUGGGGUAAAGGCCUACCAAGGCGACGAUCCUUAGCUGGUCUGAGAGGAUGGUCAGCCACACUGGGACUGAGACACGGCCCAGACUCCUACGGGAGGCAGCAGUGGGGAAUAUUGCGCAAUGGGGGCAACCCUGACGCAGCCAUGCCGCGUGUGUGAAGAAGGCCUUCGGGUUGUAAAGCACUUUAAGUGGGGAGAAAAGGGUAGCGGUUAAUAGCCGUUACCUGUGAUGUUACCCACAGAAUAAGCACCGGCUAACUCCGUGCCAGCAGCCGCCGCAGUAA
rnacentral:rRNA from 1 species